GUUGAACGCUGGCGGCAGGCCUAACACAUGCAAGUCGAACGAGUGGCGGACGGGUGAUGAAUGUCUGGGAAACUGCCUGAUGGAGGUGGAUAACUACUGGAAACGGUAGUUAAUACCGCAUACCAUCAGAUGUGCCCAGGUGGGAUUAGCUAGUAGGUGGGGUAACGGCUAACCUAGGCGACGAUCCCUAGCUGGUCUGAGAGGAUGACCAGGCACACUGGAACUGAGACACGGUCCAGACUCUUACGGGAGGCAGCAGUGGGGAAUAUUGAACAAUGGGCGAAAGCCUGAUGCAGCCAUGCCGCGUGUAUGAAGAAGGCCUUCGGGUUGUAAAGUACUUUCAGCGGGGAGGCGUUACCAGCAGAAGAAGCACCGGCUAACUCCGUGCCAGCAGCCGCGGUAAUUC
rnacentral:rRNA from 1 species